rnacentral:rRNA from 1 species
AGGACGAACGCUGGCGGCGUGCUUAACACAUGCAAGUCGAGCGGAAAGGCCCUUCGGGGUACUCGAGCGGCGAAACGGGUGAGUAACACGUGAGCAACCUGCCCCUGGCUCUGGGGAUAGCCUUCGGAAACGGGGAUUAAUACCGGAUAUUCACUGCUUCCUGCAUGGGGGGUGUGGAAAGUUUUUUCGGCUGGGGUGGGCUCGCGGCCUAUCAGCUUUGUUGGGGGGGUGACGGCCCACCAAGGCGACGACGGGUAG